CUGGCUCAGGAUGAACGCUAGCUACAGGCUUAACACAUGCAAGUCGAGGGGCAGCAUGAAGUUGCUUGCAAACUUGAUGGCGACCGGCGCACGGGUGAGUAACGCGUAUCCAACCUUCCCUAUACUAGAGGAUAGCCCGGCGAAAGUCGGAUUAAUACUCUAUGUUGUAUUUCGAGGACAUCUGAAUAAUACCAAAGGUUUACCGGUAUAGGAUGGGGGAUGCGUCUGAUUAGGUUGUUGGCGGGGUAACGGCCCACCAAGCCUACGAUCAGUAGGGGUUCUGAGAGGAAGGUCCCCCCACAUUGGAACUGAGACACGGUCCAAACUCCUACGGGAGGCAGCAGUGAGGAAUAUUGGUCAAUGGACGAGAGUCUGAACCAGCCAAGUAGCGUGCAGGAUGACGGCCCUAUGGGUUGUAAACUGCUUUUAUACAGGGAUAAAGUUCACUACGUGUAGUGUUUUGUAGGUACUGUAUGAAUAAGGACCGGCUAAUUCCGUGCCAGCAGCGGC
rnacentral:rRNA from 1 species